UCAUGGUGUGAACACUAGAGUGUACUUACACAAACCUAGGUGGAAUAGCCCAGGGUCUGCAACCCUGGGGUUGGUACCAGUCUGUGGCCUGUUAGGAACUGGGCCGCACAGCAGGAGGUGAGCAGGGGGUGAGCGACAUUACCUCUUGGGCUCUACCACCUGUCAGAUCAGCAGCAGCGUUAGAUUCUCAUAGGGGCAUGAACCCUAUUGUGAACUGCGCAUACAAUGGAUCUGGGUCGUGCACUCCUUAUGGGAAUCGAAUGCCUGAUGAUCUGAGGUGAAACAGUUUCAUCCCAAAAAAAUCGGUCCCUGGUGCCAAAAAGUGGUGUAGCCCACAGCGUACCCAGGCUAUCUAUUGCUCCUACACUGCAAAGUCCUACAGCAUGUUACUGUACUGAAUACUGUAGGCAGCUGUAGCUCCAUGCCCUGUGUGUGUUUAUCUAAACAUAUCCAAAUGUGGAAAAAGUACUAUAAAAAUAUGGUAUAGAAGAUAAAAAAUGGUAUACACUUACCAUGAGUGGAGCUUGCAGGACUGGACAUUGCCCUGGGUGAGUGAGUGAGUGAGGGGCUGGUGAAUGGGAGGGCCUUGGGGAUGACUGUACACUACUGUAGAUUUUAACCCAACCACUGUGUACUUAGGUUAAAUUAAUUUAAAAAAUACAGUCAUUGUGCUAGAAUGUUACAAUGGCUCUGAUUUAAAAAAAAAAAAAAAAAAAAGGCAGCCUUCUUGUACUCAGAAAGCCCCGGGGGGCCUGGCAAUAGAAAUGUUUUAGUUCCACUAUAAUCUAUGGGACCACCUCCCUAUAUGUGGUCUGUCACUGUGUGGCACGUGACUGUGAAUUGUGCCAAGUCAAGCAAUGAACAGCCCUGUGGAAAAGCAGAGCAUGGUGUGAGAGCACAUUUAUGCAAAGGCAGCUCAGUGUUCUCUGCCACAGGUGCAGGCAGCCUUGGAGGGUCAGAGGAGGGAGGAACGCCAGAAUUCAGCAGGACUGCAGAUCCUGGAGCCACCAGCCCUCUGUUCAGAUCCUGGCCCCGCCACUCAGUAGCUGAGUGAUCACGGCCCGCUCACUUAUCCUUUCUGAUCUUCAGUCUCCUCACUUGUAAGUGGGGAUAGCGAGCCUGCCCAUCGCCGAGGGUUGUUGUAGGACCGGAGGUGACAAUAUGUGCAAAGUACAGGCACAGACCUGGCAGUGGCUCCUGAGGGAGGUGGCAUCCUUCCCUCUCUAAGGAGGGCACGGGGUCUGGGAACGCUAGGAAGCCUGUUCGAGGUUGGAGGAACCUUGUGCUCCUCUGCCCUGGGCUGAGUGGGCACUUAGCCCUUCUGCUGCGUUCAGCAGUGACAGCACUCGCAUCUCUGUGGCCAUCGCCACCGGAAGAAGCUGGGACGUGUGCGGCAUACGGCCGUUUGGGAACUGCGAUCGGUGAGCUGCUGGGGAUGCGAUGCCUGACGCGACCCCGCUUCAGAGCGUGGACUCCGAGGGAUUCUCCUGGUCUCAUCUGUCCUUGCCGCCAAGAUGGAUUAUCUGCAGGAACUUGGACCAACUUCACGGAACCUUCCUUAUGUUCUGUUCAUACUGCCCAGACCUGCCCUGGCUUCCCUGUUGCUCCUGAGGCAGAAGAGGCCUUUGGACUUACUCGGCCCCACAUCUGUACAGUCCAGAGAUGCUGGGGGAAUUAACACCACAAAAGGUUGACUUUAGAUCAAUGUGAGACAAGUAUUUCAACUAUGAUUGUGUAUUUGUCAGUGCCUCUUUGUAAUUCUGUGAGUUUUUUCCUUCAUUUAUUUGAUAACAUACUGUAUAAUAAUGCACAUUUUAAAUUCUCAUGUCUUCCUGGUUAACAUUUUUAUUUAGUCCUAAUGUCGUGGGCUUCUUUGCUGGGGAUUAUGGUGUCAGCAUCCUUUUAGGGAUCAUUUUUCUGCCUACCACAACUAUGAUUAACUUUUUGCCAACAAUUUUGAGAAUAUAGGUGAAGUGUGUAUUUUCUUGGGAAAAAUCUGGUUGCUUAUUUUAAUUGGUAAUACAGUAACACUUCCUUUUUGUUGAUUCUUGAUCUGGGAUGUAAACAUUUCUUCUUUCAGUGUUCAAAUUUUCUUGUCAUUUCAUGUUAUGUGUUUCUGUUGUAAAGUGUAUAUAUAUUUGAAUUUUGUUUUAUCAUC
rnacentral:lncRNA from 1 species